rnacentral:tRNA from 1 species
AGGGCCACAGCUCAGCUGGUCAAAACACCUGUCUAGUAAACAGGAGAUCCUGGAUUCCACUUCCUGUGGCACCU